ACAACAUUCGGACCGUCGGUCUACCGGUGGAAGAUCUUCUUUUUGUCGU
rnacentral:pre_miRNA from 1 species